rnacentral:rRNA from 1 species
AGUGAACGCUGGCGGUAGGCCUAACACAUGCAAGUCGAACGGCAGCACAGUAAGAGCUUGCUCUUACGGGUGGCGAGUGGCGGACGGGUGAGGAAUACAUCGGAAUCUACUUUUUCGUGGGGGAUAACGUAGGGAAACUUACGCUAAUACCGCAUACGACCUACGGGUGAAAGCAGGGGAUCUUCGGACCUUGCGCGAUUGAAUGAGCCGAUGUCGGAUUAGCUGGUUGGCGGGGUAAAGGCCCACCAAGGCGACGAUCCGUAGCUGGUCUGAGAGGAUGAUCAGCCACACUGGAACUGAGACACGGUCCAGACUCCUACGGGAGGCAGCAGUGGGGAAUAUUGGACAGUGGGCGCAAGCCUGAUCCAGCCAUACCGCGUGGGUGAAGAAGGCCUUCGGGUUGUAAAGCCCUUUUGUUGGGAAAGAAAAGCAGCAGGUUAAUACCCCGCUGUUCUGACGGUACCCAAAGAAUAAGCACCGGCUAACUUCGUG